rnacentral:rRNA from 1 species
AUUGAACGCUGGCGGCAUGCCUUACACAUGCAAGUCGAACGGCAGCGGGGGAGAAGCUUGCUUUUCCUGCCGGCGAGUGGCGAACGGGUGAGUAAUACAUCGGAACGUGCCCUGUAGUGGGGGAUAACUAGUCGAAAGAUUAGCUAAUACCGCAUACGACCUGAGGGUGAAAGUGGGGGACCGCAAGGCCUCAUGCUAUAGGAGCGGCCGAUGUCUGAUUAGCUAGUCGGUGGGGUAAAGGCCUACCAAGGCGACGAUCAGUAGCUGGUCUGAGGGGACGAUCAGCCAGAUUGGGCCUCAGAAACGGCCCAGACUCCUACGGGAGGAAGCAGUGGGGAAUUUUGGACAAUGGGCGAAAGCCUGAUCCAGCAAUGCCGCGUGUGUGAAGAAGGCCUUCGGGUUGUAAAGCACUUUUGUCCGGAAAGAAAUGGCUCUGGUUAAUACCUGGGGUCGAUGACGGUACCGGAAGAAUAAGGACCGGCUAACUACGUGCCAGCCGCCGCAGUAA